AGCCUGCACAGAUAUCACUAUCACAACCCUUACGUUUUUUAAAGUAGCAGUUUCGUGCCCCCAAGAGGAGACACGUACCGAUUAGUACUCAAAUAUAUAGUAAGACAGCAGCUGACCCUGAGCAGUGGCCAGGCACUGCCUUCGCAUGGCAGUAACUCGUCUCACUCUCACCUGUGAUUACAUACUGUGAAUUAUGUUCAUUUUACAGCUCGUUAUAGAUCACGCACACAGCCUGCUUCAGCUAGGCUAACUCUUCACUUUGCGGAAGUUUUUUAUCCUAAUCCUGUAGAUCAGUUGUAGAGUUCAUAAGAAGUAUAAAGAAUCAGACCAGGAAGGACACACCUCAGAUAGUACCAGCAGGUUAGUCAGAUGACCUCCAAGUCCCUGUGAACAAACCCCUCCUUUCCAGUAAAGAAAAGCAAGGCCCAGGGCAGGCACCUGCCCAAGCCUACAGUGCUGACUGGUUGCAGCCAUUUUCAGUCCAGCACCCUUUCCAAUUUUCAGCCCUGCCUCCUGUCACAGGCAAUGAGAGCUACUAAUCCCCACCAAACUUUUUGUCUACUUAUACAUGCUUGAAAGUAAGUCCAAUUAAAGAAGUGAAGUUCCUCAUAGUAAGUCAACUCUCAUCUAUCUGACAUCUUCGAAAACCCAGUCCUCCAUGAAGCCUUUCCAGACCAUUCGUGCUUCAUCCAUAUUCACUGAAUGGGGCACAGGGCAGAGAAGGUGCAUAUCCUUGAAGCUUACACGAUAGCAGGGGAAAGAGACAAAAAACAAACCUCUAGAUGCGAUAAAGAUUUUGACUUUGGCCUCAAGAGAACAAGCCGCUUUUUGCAAAUGACAGCCCUCCGCUCCGCGCAGGGAUUGCUGUACCCAGAGCGCGGGCUCCGUGCUGCCCGGAGGCGCGCGCGGGACGCCGGGCUCGAUCUGGCGGGCUGGCGAGGGCGGCAGGCCGCAGGGACGGGCCACGGGAAGCGGGACUCCACGGCUCAGGCGCGGCGCUCCGAGAAGCGGGUCGACGCCGCCGCGAGCCCAGGUGAGCUCGCGCCCGGCGCAUUUCAAACGGGCCAAUCAGCGCCCGCCCGCGGGGAAGGGGCGGGGCCUCAGAGGAAAUGACUGCUCUGCCGGAAGUGGCGCUCGUCUCCUAGGCGACCGCGGGAGUGAGGCGCGAGUUGUCUGCGUCUCCGGGCUGCGCUCAGAUGUAAUGAAGUCCAUCCCCUUCCAUUUUCCCAUGAAGAAACUGAGGGCUUAUUUUACUACAGUACAAGAAGUCCAACGGAAGGGCCAGUCCAGCGUGCAUUCAGAGGUCAGCGGGGUUCCCGCACAGGAGUGUACUAUUGUGCGGUGCCCUGCACAGCCAGACUCCGCGUCUGGCUUCCAUAUCACCACAUCAUGUUGGCGUCCUCUCCCCCCUUCACGUUUCCUGGGUUCUCCCUCCCUGGUUCCUCCAGCUCUAUCUUAUAUAUACAUUCUCUUAUCAAAUUAUUUUCUCUUUUAUCACAGUCUUAACAAUGUUUGAUCCGGAGCAUUGCUAAAAGGAAAACCACUGGCCCAAGAUGGAGUCCCUUAUGCUAUGCCAGGUCACCAAACCGGGGCUUAAUAUCUUAAUAUCUUAAUGUCUUAAUAUCACCUAAGUGUAGUUUCUACCCCUCCCAUAAACGUACUCUGAACCGGUCAGUCAGGAACUUUCUGGUCCGCACCAAUGAGGUAAUCUGUCGCAGGGGCCCUCUCCGUCUCCCCUCUCCCCCUGCCCCCUACCAAAGGAAGAUGAGAUGACCUUCCAAAUAAGACCCCUGCCCUCCCCGCUUAGGGAUGGUGACCUGGCCUGAAACAAUCCUGGCUUUUCUUUUACCAGUAACUUCCUUACCCUACCCUCCUUUCUAUGGAAGCCUUACAUUUUGUGCGGCUCCUGGGAGCAUCUCUCUGCUUGCUAGAUGGGAUACUGCCCCAUUCAGGAAUCGCUUAAUAAAACCACCUUGAUCUUUUAGAUUCCUCGGGUGAAUUUUUAACAGCCUAUAGAGAUGAAUAAAGUUUGGUCCUCACUCUUGAGGAGCAAUGUCCAUCCACUCUUUUCUAAGAUGAACUAAUUCUAUCCCAUUUCAACAUUUGUCACUAACCUCAUGACUGUCAAAUCUGCAUCUACAUCUGUGCUCUCAUGGGACUCUAGUCCCAGCUCCUCAACCAGACACCAGUUAAAUGGACAAAAUUUAACAUCCUUGGCCCAUAUUAUGUGACAUAAAGAUGGUUUUUCCUAAUGCUUUUAUUGCUUUGUUUGUUGUUAGAGGACAGGUUGGGACCUGUAUUAUUUAGGAAUUAGGCGUGGCCAUUUGACUACUUCUUAGUUACCCUGCAAUCUGGCAUUGGCCUCAGUCUCUCCAUUAGAACUCUUCUCACUGAGACCACCACCUCCUUGAUGCUAAAUCUAAUUGACCCUUCCAUGCCCUUCUCUUGGCCUCUCAACAGCACCGAAAAUAUUUCUCAUUCCUCUCUUACUAUGUCUUCAUUUUCCUCUCCGAGCUCUCUAAGCGCCCCUCUUUCGCGGAACUCACUUGUGAGUUCCUUUUUUGUGUGUGCGGAAAUGUCGUAGCUUAGGGUUUUGACCUGGUCUCCACUUAGUGAGGACUCUCCUCAGGCACUCCCAACCACUCCUGCGGCUUCACACACCAAUCACAUUUGUUCUUCUGAGCUCCAGACAUUCUCCGCUUGGGUGUCCCACAGGCACCUCAGACCUAAGGCGCCCUAAUCUCUUACCCCAAACCUGCUCCCCUUCAGUGGAUGGGUGAUACACCAUCUACCCAGCCACCCAAGCCAGAGUCCCAGGUACCAUCUUGGACUUUUGCCUCUCCUUCUGUUCCAACAUCCACUCACCACGUCUUGACAGUUCUACCUACCCAAGAGCCUUCACACCUCUCAAACGCUGUUCUCUAUCCCCUUGGCUACUCCUAUCAUUUGUCUGGACGAGGGCAACAGUACUCUAACAGGCUUUCCUGCUGCUGCCUUCCAAAUCUGCAGCCUGUUCACCUCUAAACCACAGAUCUAGUCAUGUCACUCCCCUAUGUAAUGCUCGUCACACUGCAGGAGCUCCCCAGCGCCGGACACCCUCACAGGGCCCUGAGGCUCUUCCUCUCCAAGCCCAUCCCUUAUUAUGACCCCCUGCACACACUCCCUCCGCUGACAAGCUCUCCUCCCCGCCUUAUUAUGCCUCCUUAUUCUCAGUUCUCAGCAGACCUUCUGCCAACGACUUGCCCCCGGAUGCUAGAUCCCUACUGUGUACCCCCAGUCCCCUCCACCCUGCCAGCAAGCUGUUGGUUUGCUCCAGAGCACCCGUCCCGGUUUGCUCACUGUUCCUCUACUAGCUUAUCCCCACAGGCUCACUAGGUGGCACUGUUGCACCCUUAGUGCCGCGCCAUGGAGGCCCCCUGGUAACUGUCUGGGAGGAAUGGAUGAAUCCAUCCCAGUGGAGGACCCAGUUCCAUCAAGCCCCACCCCAGCUUUUCUUCAGGCCACUUUCUUCUUUCUCCCUCGCCUCUAUCCGUACUAAAGCUCUCUAGCUUGUUUGCUUUAAAAUAGAAAAUAGAAUAAAAACCGUCACCUCACACCUUACACGUUCUUCUCUCUCCCCUGCCUUCCUCUCCCCUCUCCCCCCCUCCCCUCCAAUGGGCUCCCCAUAGGCAGUAAAAGAUUUGCAUUUUCCCCUAGAAUUAGAGAUCCAGACCAGGGGGAAGGGUAAGAGAUGGGGAGGGAGUAGAACCCGGAGGCUUCUACCAAAGUCAGGGUUAUGGAGGUACAUUCUGUAUCCAGCAAAAUUCACCCUUCUUGGUUGUACCGUGUGCAUGGAUUUAACAAACACACCAUCCUGUAACCACCGCCACCAUCACUGCAAAACUUUCUUUGUGCUGCAUUUUUGUAGUCCAUCACCUUCCUCUACCCCCAGCCCUAGGCAAGCGCUUUUCUGACUUCCUCCCUUAGAGUCUUAACUGUUCCAGAAUGUCUCUUCUUUAGCUGGGCAAAAUGCUCUGGAGAUUCAACGCUUUUGAGUAGCACGUAUCGAUACCAUGUUUCCUUUUUACUGCUAAGUAGUAAAUCCCCUGUAGGAAUGCAUGACAGCUCAUCCAUCCGCUAGCCCGUUGGACGUUCAGGUCGUUUUCACCUUUAGGCAAUUAUGAAUGAAACUGAUAAUUAUUUGCAUAAAGGUCUUUAUGCAGAUAGGGAUCUUCAUUUCCCUUGGGUGGGAUUGCUGGUCUGACGGUAAGUAUAACUUUCUAAGACACUGCGAAACUGGACUGGAGGGUCCUAUGCAAAUCACUGGAGAGAGGCUGACCCUACACGGAUGGAAACCAAUAUGAUUAACCCAAACACCCACACGAACAGCUGUGGGAACCUUGUAACAGCCAGUGACCGGAAAGGGCUGAGGUCUAGCGUGUUUGAGGGAAGGUGGUAAAAAUGAGGACAGGAUGACUGUGAUACACCCAACACUCCAUGCGAGGAGCUGUCUCCCUGACCCUCCCUGCUGUUCACACUCAAGAGCUUAGGCUGCAUCAUCUCACAUCCACAGGCCAUGUGACUCUCCCCAGGCCAUUUGAAAAUGAAAGGAUGUUAAUGUUUUACAUACUCAAAAGACAAUAAAAUCAGCAAGCUGGGGGGGGGGGGGGUUUGUAGAAUUGAUACAAAAAGAAACAAAUGAUCUGAACCAUAUUUCAAAUGAGUAACAUACACAUAAAGGGGCCAUAACUAAGCCAAGUAAUUUAGACUAUUGAGACUAUAUGCCCUCAGGCUCCAGACAAAAAGAACUUGAAACAUAUAUUGGAUUCUAAUUAGCCUUUUUGCCGAUGUGGGUUAGUAAUUUUGAUAUGACAUUCUGUACGUUCUAAGAUUGAGCAAAUAAUAUAUUGUGGAUAAUGGGAGCCAAGUUUCUCUCUGUUAGAGAUGAGAGUUAUAUACAUAUCAAAAGGGGGAAGGAUGAAAAGUACCUGGGAAUUGUUUUUUAAGAUUUUAUUUUUAAGUAAUAUCUACACCCAACAUGGGGCUUGAAACUACCAUCCCGAGAUGAAUAGUCACAUGCUCUACCAACUAAGCCAGCCAGAUACCCCAGUACCUGGGGAUUCUUCAUACUACUCAAUGUUUUUCCAAAUCUGAAAAAAAAAAAAAAAAAAGAAUGGUUGGACUAGUGUUUUCUUAAACUGCCUUAUAUUAAAAAGCACUUGGGGGGCACCUGGGUGGUUCAGUUGGUUAGCUUCCAACUUCAGCUCAGGUUAUGAUCUCACAGUUCAUGAGUUCGAGCCCCGUGUCAGGCUCUGUGCUGACAGCUCAGAGCCUGGAACCUGCUUUGGAGUCUCUCUCUCUCUCUUUCUCUCUCUCUCUCUGCCCCUCCCCCACUCACACGGUCUCUUUCAAUAAAUACACAUUAAAAAAAUUUUUUUAAUUACUUGGGGCUUUUGAUAAAAAUGUAAAACUCUAAGACUACUUUUCCCUCCCAAGGUAUGCUGCAUCUGUCCAUUUGGGCCUGACAAUGUGCAUUUUGCAUCAUCAAACACAUUUAAAAAUUUAUUUAUGUAUUUGUUUAUUUUGAGAGAGUGAGCGAGCAAGUGCAAAUGGGGAGGAGCAGAGAGAGAGAGAGAGAGAGAGAAUCCCAAGCAAGCUCACCCUGUCAGGGUAGAGCCCAAUUCAGGGCUGAAACUCAAGAACCAUGAGAUCAUGACAGGCAAAAUCAAGAGUCGAGGCUUAGCCAACUGAUCCACCCAGGUGCCCCCAUCAUCAAACACAUUUUUGAAACGCUGGAUUAAAUUAUCUUUGAGGUACGUUGUUCCAUGCUCUACAGGAGGCGUGAAUUAAGCCAAUUUUAGAAAUUUGUUGCCCAGAGUGAAGAGAAUGGGGGUAAUGACUCUCUAUUUGCCUGAAAUAUAUUUAUUACAGAGUUGAAGCAUUCAUACAAGUACCAAGAGCCCAGAGGAAAGCCCCUUGGACAAUCUCCUGGGAAGAACAUGCAGGAGAAAUCCCAGAAUUCUUUGAAAGCCAAGUGAUCCAUACAUUAUCUAGAGUUACACAUUUCAGGAAUAAGUGGCUUGAUUUCCAUCCUUCCGAUAGGACCAAGUGCCUACUGGUCUGGGGGCCUUUGCCCAUACACCAUCUGACCUGAAACACCUACCCCACCACACACUGGCAGGGCUGGCCCCUUCUGCCCACCAAGGCUCUCGUCAAACGUCAACUUCUCAGAAUGGCCAUCCAAUCUCACCUGCCCUAUCCCACCCAUCUCUAUGUCUUCACCAGCUUCUCUUCUUUAUAGCACUUACCGUUAUCUGAAUUUAUCUAUCCCUACUGACAGUCACAAGAUUCACUCCAUGCAGGAGUGUUCAUUCCAUAUACACCAGGCACAAAAUAAACAUUCAUUGAAUGAUUUAGCAAUGUACACAUGUACAGGAAUCUAUUUCUUAAAUUUUUUAAGUUUGUUAAUUUAUUUUGAGAGAGAGACAGCGAGUGCACAAGCAGGGGAGGGGCAGAGAGACAGAGAGACAGAGAGAGAGAGAGAAUCCCAAGCAGGCUCCACACCAUCAGCGCAGAGCCCGAUGCAGGGCUUGAACUCACAAAUCAUGAGAUCAUGACCUGAGCCGAGAUCAAGAAUCAGACGCUCACCCAACUGCACUCCCCAGGCGCCCCAGGAAUCAAUUUCUUAUGAUGAACAAACGUUUACAGUGUGGUAGGUGAAACAUAACCAAAUCAAGUGGGAAACAGGCCUUUAUUAUAAUAAAGUUUAUUUUUUUUCCUCCCAUACAGUUUAAGAAAACCAGACAUCAGUGUAAGUUGGAGGAACAGCUGUGUUCAGAAAUGGGUCUUUGCCUUUUCAUCCACAAUAGAUUGUUGACCAGAAAAUCAGAGGCUGGCAUUCAACUAAUAUGUGAUAAAGAGUUGUUAUACAGUGAAUCCGAUACAGAGCAGCUGAGAAAUAAAUUAUGUUGCUGAGGCUGAAGAUGAGGCACAGAAGUACAGCUCCAGCUAUCUGAGGGAAAGACAGGGGCCUGGAGUUGGCCAGGAGCCAUUCCCUCCUCAGAGUCUUGUCCAGAACAAUGGCUUCCAUCUGCAGGUGUGUGGCCAGGAUCACACACACGUGGAACAGCUGGUGACUGUGACCUACGGCGAACACAGAAAAGGCUGCCAGGAUCAGCAACAAAAAACGAACAGGGGCCCCUGGGUGGCGCAGUUGGUUAAGCUUCCAACUCUUGAUUUCGACUCAGGCCAUGAUCUCACAGUUUGUGAGUUCGAGCCCCGCAUUGGGUUCUGCGCUGACAGGGCAGAGCCUGCUGGGGAUUCUCUCUGUCUCCCUCUCUCUCUGCCCCUCCUGUAUCUCUCUCUCUCUCUCUCUCUCUCUCAAAAUAAAUAAACUUGUUUUUUUUUUUAAAGGAAUAGACUGCUGAUACUGUUCCAUAGUGUAUAGGCUAAAAACAUUAUGCUGGGUAAAGAAGCUAGACACAAGGGACCACAUAUUGUCAGAAUCCAUUUAUAUCAAAUGUCCAGGAAAGGCAAAUCCACAGACACAAAGUAGGUUACUGGUUUCUUCAGGCAGGGGGUAGGAAUCAGGAUUAAUAAGACAUGGGCAGGAGGGAUCUUAUCGGGGUGAUGAUCAUGUUCUAAAACUCAUUUGCGAUGAUGGGGAUUCAAUUUGGGGGGUUAACUAAAAAUAUCACUGAAUUGUGUCCUUGAAAUCAGGGAACCAUGUGAUACGUAAAAUAUGCCUCAAUGCAUUUAUUUGUUUUUUAAAUGUUUGUUCAUUUAUUUUUGAGACAGCAUAAGCAGGGGAAGGGCAGAGAGAGAGGAAGACAGAGAAUCCCAAGCAGGUUCCGCACUGACAGCACAGAGCCCUACAAGGGGCCUGAAAUCGCGAACCAUGAAAUCGUGACCUGAGCCGAAACCAAGAUUCUGAUGCUCAACCAACUGAGCCACCCAGGCGCCCCAACAUUUUUUUUUAAUGCAGUGUGAGAAAAAUUAAAAGGCCCGAGUACAUUUUUUCAACUUGUCCACCAGUCCUGGUUUUCACAUGAAGUCUGGCAUCAUGUUCUCCCAAAGUUCACCUCUUCAUAGCCAGCACUCAUCAGCUCCAAUUCUGAGGCCAACGGAGAAGCCAGCCAGACUUUCUAUUGGCCAGUUACAAGGGCAGCUGUAUUUUAAUCCUCCAAAUGUCCAUAAAGCCUUUUGAGUUAAUUACGAAAGAAAAGGAAAGAAAUCAAGGAAAAGGAAAAGAAAAAUCCUACUGGAUCUAUUUGCUACUCUUUUGGGGGUAAAAUGUAAGUAUAGUAAAAAGUGGUCUAGUCACCCUUGAACUCACUUCUCACCAGCACAUCCCCAGAUUUCAAGCUCCUAAUUAAGGCUUUAAAGCCUAGAAAUCCCUGGAAGGCCUUUCUGAGUCAUCAAAACGUGUUAAUUACAGCCAUUAUCCUGUUUGAGAGCUAAGUAUAGUUUUUGUAUUACCGUUAUAAUGACAGCAGCCAUCACUUACCUAGGGCACUAAGCCAGCCUUUUAUUUGCACAAUUUCAUCACAGCCUCAACAACUACCAAAACAUCCCACUUUGCGGAUGAGGAAGCUGGGCCAGAGGGUGACUUGCAAACCACUAAUCAGCAGUGAAGUCAGGCUGUGGAUCCAGGCAGGCUGAUUCCAGAACCGGUGCUCGUCAACCUCCCUGCUGGCGAUCAGACCUCCCGGCCCCUCCUCCGCCCCCUGUCUGACUCAGCUGGUGCUCCUAAUAACGCAGACCUGUGCUAUGCGAUUCGGUGGCAUGUGGGAACGGCUUGCUCUCUGCUCUGGUUUCCUAUGGGUGUUCUGUGUCGUGGAGGAAGGAGUCAGGGGAAUGGGCCGCACCCACGCCUCUGGGUCUCCCCCCCCCAUCCCAGGCUCACACAGGUGGCACCGGCUCUGGCCCUCCCCUUUGGUCCCUGACUUGCGCAUCAAACUUCAAGCUGCCCCUGGGAGGGAAACUCUACUCACUGGGUGCAGGCCAUCUGGCGGGCAUUGCUGAGCCCUCCGAUCUGCUGAUUUGAUUAAACCCCUCUACCCCUCUGUGCGGGAGAGGAUGUCAGCCUCAUUAACAGAUGAGGAAACUGAGGCUCAGAGAGAUCAGGUGCAUUCCCUAAGGUCACAGAGCCAGUGCGCGCUGGGAUUUGAACUCAGGUCCAUCCGAUUUGUGAGUGCCUCUCCCCUUUCUUGUGUCCCUCCUGCACCCCCUUCCUUCAUGUUCUCCAAUUCCCAUCUAUCUUACGACCUUCAUUUAUCCUUUUUCCUUCGCUGCUAGUAUAUUAGUUGAUGAUAAUACAGAAUAACUGCAUUUAUUGGCCACUUGCCACAAGCCAGCGA